rnacentral:misc_RNA from 1 species
CGGGACCGAAGUUACUGGCGGACCUGAUGGACCAGAGAGAAUUACAGUGGCACCCUCUUUACUCCUGAUGGCCAUAUGUCCUGGUGGUGGAGCAGGUAGUGCUUGUGAUGGAAGAGCUACAGAUUUACCCCAGCCUAUCUUCAACUCAUAUUCAUACACAACAACUCCUUGCAUUUCAUCUUUUGCAGCCUGCCCAUCAGCUCUAUUCAUAAAUGCUACAAAUCCACAAUUUCUCUGCCGCCUUCGCUCUUCUUCUGUUCUAGGCCACAUUAUCUUGA